UACGUAGGGGGCGAGCGUUAUCCGGAAUUAUUGGGCGUAAAGAGUACGUAGGUGGUUUGGAAAGCGUGUGGUGAAAUUGCGGGGCUUAACCCCGUCCAGCCAUGCGAACUUUCAGACUUGAGUGCAGGAGAGGGAAGUGGAAUUCCUAGUGUAGCGGUGAAAUGCGUAGAUAUUAGGAGGAACAUCAGUGGCGAAGGCGACUUCCUGGACUGUAACUGACACUGAGGUACGAAAGCGUGGGUAGCAAACAGGAUUAGAUACCCUGGUAGUCCACGCCGUAAACGAUGAGCACUAGGUGUCGGGGUCGCAAGACUUCGGUGCCGCAGUUAACGCAUUAAGUGCUCCGCCUGGGGAGUACGUGCGCAAGCAUGAA
rnacentral:rRNA from 1 species